AUGGAUCUGGUAGGUGGACCCAAAAGAUUUUUCACAAAAUCUCACAGAAUGAUCACAUGAUACUUCUGUUACUGUGGCACAUUCUUUAUUUAAUUCUCAAACUCAUAUACUGUGUUUGGGAGAAGAUGCGUGCAAUUGAAAGCUAUCUUAUAGCAAAUGGAAUUGUGAAAACAUAUGAAGAUCUGAAUUUAGAUAGAGUGAAGUAUCUUGGAAUUGUGGUGGAUAGUGAUGAAGCCCGUGAAACCUCAAAAGUUAUUGAACUUUUGGAGUGGCUUUCAGAUAUUGGUGUGAAAAAGGUCUGCCUUUAUGACAGAGAAGGAGUGUUGAAGAUGUCUAAGGAAGUGUUCUUAGAGAAAUUUGAUUCUAUGAUAUUGAACUUUUGGAGUGGCUUUCAGAUAUUGAUGUGA